GUUGCAUGGUAUUUGUGGGCCACAGUUUGUGUUUCCUUGUACGUUGAUGUUUGGCCAUGUGCAUAUUUUGGCCAUUGCAGAAAAUGCUACAGUUGAAGUGUUGGCAUGUGGCUUGUGGUAUAAAUCUGUGUAUAUACACAGCAUGGGUGCAUCCUGAGAAAUGCAUUGUUAGGUGACUUCACUGUUAACGUGAACAUUGCACAGUGCACUUGCACAAUCUGAGAUCACUAUGUCGUCGCUGAAUGAUAGAAUCUUACAGGACCACUGCCAUUCACAUGGCCUGUCAUGGACCAAAACAUGUAGUGCAUGACAUAUUUACGUAUCUGUGAAUAUAAACAUAUAUGUAUGUGUGUAUUUGUGUACACAAACUCACACAUUUAUACAUUUCUGUUGGGAAUAUACUUAGGAGCGGAAUUGCUGGAUCAUAGUUUUAAUAGUGCUAAAGCAUUUGUACCAAUUACAUUCCCGCUGGGAAAGUUCUGGUUGCUCCAGGUUCUUGCCAGUAUUUGAUAUUAUCUUCCUUUUUCAUGUACUCUUUUUGGUGGGUAUACAGUAACAUUAGGUCCAAAUGUGCAUUUCAGUGAGAUUGGCCAUUUGGGUAUCUUCUUUUGCAAAGUAGUCUGUUUAUAUCUUUUGCUCAUUUUUCUAUUGUUUUUUUUCCUAUCAUUUUCACAUAGAAAGUUCUUCAUAUAUUGUCCAAUAUAUGUGUUGCCAAUAUAUUCUCCUCAGAAGCUUUAGUAUCCAUGUCUUUAGUGAUAUCCCAUGUAAAGAAUUGGCACUGUUUAUAGUAUUUUGCACAAGGAUAUUUUAUUCUUUGUUAGCUAUGUUGAAGUUGGGGCUAUCAAGUGUUCUACAAAGUUUAUCAAGUUUUCUACAAAGGAACUCUUGGGAUAUUGGUUAUGAAGAGUGAGGCAGGGUCUCUUGAAGUUCUUGGCAUAUUAAAAUGCUGGCACCUGUAGCAUCACAUCAAAAUAAAAAUGUUAAUGUCCUUUUAUUUACUAUGUGUCAUAUAGUGUUCUAGGCAUUUUACGUGGGCUCUCUAAUUUAUUCAUUAGGCAAGUUUAUCAGCUAAAUGCUAUUAUUAUGCUCAUUUUCAAGCAAGGAAACAGGCUCAGAGAUGUUUUCUAAUUGCCUAGGUUUACAACUGGCUUGCAGGGCCCAUGCUCUUAACCACUGUACUUCAUGGAAAGUUGCAUUUCUGAAAAUUGCUGUUUUAUUAUAGUUCCCAGCCCAUAGUAAGUACUUAACGAGUACCUGUUGAAUGAAAGAAUCUAACUGUGGUGAAUUAGGUAAAGUCUUUAUUGAGCAGGAGGUUUGUCCUGGCAAUGGGAUAUGUUGGGUACAGGAAACAGUUGAGUUCUUUACUGAGGACUUUGCCUAGAACAAUACUUAGUAGACACUGUAGUGAACAUUUGUGGAGUGAAUGAAUCCCUUACAGCAGAUUGUGAGCUAUGUUUAGCAGAUGGGGGAACUCAGAGAACACUACAGGGCCAAGGCAGGUAUGUCAGUAGGGGUCAUUAUGAUGGUCUAAGGAGAAUUCAGAGAUGUGUUAGCAGCAUCCUGGCUGUAUAGCCACCAGGCAGCCCAGUGGUGGUAGCACAGCAGCGUCCAAUGUCAGAAGGCAAGACUGUCCCAGUUACAGGCAGUUGGGUCAGAAGAGGUCUCAGCCAGAAGUGCAGGGCUGGCAGGAUUCAAGGUCAGGUAAUCCAAAGUCACAAGGUUGCAAGCAGUAAAAGUUCAGUCUAGUUGGAGACAGAGCCAAGGAGUGCUUGCAGGGAGCUGUUGCCCGGGCUGAGUUCCCCUCCUCAAUGAGGCCUUUCUUCUCAGGCUGCUCAUGGUGCCUGGGAGGAAUACAUCAGACCUCUGCCAGAGACCUUUCCCAUGCUGGAGUCAGAAGAGGCCUCCAUGAAUGUCUUGCCAAACUCUUCAUUUGACAGGUGAGGAAAUUAAAGCUUUAAUUAGAAGUUUUUCAGUGAGUAGUAGAGUCAGCGCUGAGACCAGACACUGCAGACUUAUUCCUGCUUCCCUGUGUUUUCUAUAAAAAAUUAAGAGCUGAUAGGAUUUGGUACUGAGAAGGAGGGAAGGACAAACCUUAAAGAGGAAAAAUGGAGAGAAAUUGGAUAUGGCGGCAGCGGAGGAAUCUGGUCACUAUCAUAUGAGUCUAGAGAAUGGCAGUUGAGGUGACAAGAGUUUGGAGAAAGAAGCUGCUUAGAUGAUGCCCGUGAUCUUGACUCCAGAGUAUAAGUUCUGUGAGAACAAAGUCGUUUUCAUUUUUAUUGAAGUGAAACAUACAGAAAAGUACACAGAGGGCAGAGAUUUAUUAAAAAAAUGUUUUUGAAUGUAUUUGCUACAUUUUGUGUAUCCAUUCAUCUGUCUGUGGACACUUAGGGCAAGAAGUUUUUUAUGGUUUGCUCACCAAUAACUCGAAUAAAUCCUGACUUUAGUAGCAAUUCAGCAAGUAAUUUUGGAAUGGAUUUUAGUUAUGAUGAACUUGAGCUGACAGUGGGGUAUCCAGGUGGGCUUUUUGUCCAACAGCAAUUCUAAGAUGACUCAGGUCUAGAGGUUGAAUCCCUUUUAGAGGUGAAGGAUGAAGGUGUGGUGUCCCAGAGACAGGGUAGAGCAGGGAGCAGGGCCCUAGGGUUUGCACAGGUGAGAGCAAAUUUUUUCCAGAUGCAGUCCAUCUCAGGAGGGUGUCAUUACUGAAAACAGAAGAGAGGUUUUAAGAAUGGGGUAAAAAGCCAUAUCUAAGUCAAGAAGAAUGAAGGGUCUGAAAAGGAACGCUGGAAUUGGCAAAUAGCCAUGGGGCUAAGACUUGGGCUCGCUGUGUCUGAUUUCAUGGUUGACCUCAGGAAGAAAUUUCUAUAGAAUGUUGGUAGUCCAGACCAUAACCCUUGGUCAAGGGAAACACCUGGAACAGCCAGAGCUAUUCAAUGCUGGACACCAGGUGAAGCAGUAGCACUAGUAACAGGUGUGUAGAGAAAAAAUUCACCAGCACAGAUCAUUCUGAGACUUCAAGGAAAUCUUGAACUUGAGCACGGACUUGUAAUGCAGUUGGACUCUGCAAUUUACAGAGGGGAGAAGGACACCUCUGGUAGAGGAAGCAGUAAGAGCUUGGCGGAAAGAAUGGGAGCCACAGGGAACAAUGAGGAAACCAGAAUGAUGAGGCAGAGGAUAUGUGGGGGAAGUGGGACAUAGGGCUGGCACUUCUAUUGUUUCCUCCCCUUUUAAGUUGAUCAAGAGAUGUCAGUUGGGGAGCUCGAGUGAUCUACAUCUAAACACGACAUCCAGCAUAACUCAGCAGCCGCAUUUAGAAUGACUGGACACCAAAGAAUCCCCAGGACAACCCAUUGCCCUGUGUGUAUAAUAGAACAGUCUAACAUAGACACCAGUAAGUUGUAAAGACUACUGCAUGUGACAGACCUAUCUGGCUCAGAUAUGAGUGUGACUAUAUCUGGAAUCACAUGCUAGAGAAUUCAGUCUAACCGGUAAUUCAUUGAGCUCCAGCUGAAAGCCAUGCUUGCUGCUGGAUGCUAGAAUAUGGACAAAAGGUUGCGAUUAAGAAGUACAAAUUGAGCUUGGGCAGGUCCUAGACUUGCCUGAGUCUUAAAGACUUCACUUUCUGCAGAGCCUAGGGAGAUAUUAGGCUGAAGACUAAAAAAGGGAAAGCCUUGGGCUGGGGAUGUGGCUCAAGCGGUAGCGCGCUCGCCUGGCAUGCGUGCAGCCCGGGUUCGAUCCUCAGCACCACAUACAAAACAAAAGAUGUUGUGUCUGCUGAAAACUAAAAAACAAAUAUUAAAAAAAUUCUCUCUCUCUCUCUUAAAAAAAAAA
rnacentral:lncRNA from 1 species